rnacentral:rRNA from 1 species
AUUGAACGCUGGCGGCAUGCCUUACACAUGCAAGUCGAACGGUAGAGUAGCAAUACUUGAGAGUGGCGAACGGGUGAGUAAUAUAUCGGAACGUGCCCAGUCGUGGGGGAUAACGUAGCGAAAGCUACGCUAAUACCGCAUACGAUCUAUGGAUGAAAGCGGGGGAUCGCAAGACCUCGCGUGAUUGGAGCGGCCGAUAUCAGAUUAGGUAGUUGGUGAGGUAAAGGCUCACCAAGCCGACGAUCUGUAGCUGGUCUGAGAGGACGACCAGCCACACUGGGACUGAGACACGGCCCAGACUCCUACGGGAGGCAGCAGUGGGGGAAUUUUUGGGACAAUGGGCGCAAGCCUGAUCCAGCAAUGCCGCGUGCAGGAUGAAGGCCUUCGG